CCCUUAGAUGUUCUGGGCUGCACGCGCGCUACACUGAUGCACUCAACGAGUUUACGACCUUGCCCGAUAGGGUUGGGUAAUCUUUUUAAAAUGCAUCGUGAUGGGGAUAGAUUAUUGCAAUUAUUAAUCUUCAACGAGGAAUUCCUAGUAAGCGCGAGUCAUCAGCUCGUGCUGAUUACGUCCCUGCCCUUUGUACACACCGCCCGUCGCUCCUACCGAUUGAACGAUCCGAUGAAAACUGUGGAUUGAGAGUCUGAGUGGGUUCGCCUACCUCAACUUUCGAGAAGCGGUUUAAAUCUUAUCGUUUAGAGGAAGGAGAAGUCGUAACA
rnacentral:rRNA from 1 species